ensembl:rRNA 5S_rRNA 5S ribosomal RNA
GUCUAUAUCCAUACCACCCUGGACAAGCCAGAUCUUGUUUGAUCUUGGAACUAAGGUUGGGUCUGGUUAGAACUCAAAUGGGAGAAGAAUUGGUUUAUGUAGUCA